rnacentral:rRNA from 1 species
GUAGGGAAUAUUGGACAAUGGGGGGAACCCUGAUCCAGCCAUGCCGCGUGGAGGAAGACUGCCCUCUGGGUUGUAAACUCCUUUUAUAUGGGAAGAACCGUCCUCAUUAAUGAGUGACCUGACGGUACCAUAGGAAUAAGCACCGGCUAACUCCGUGCCAGCAGCCGCGGUAAUACGGAGGGUGCAAGCGUUAUCCGGAUUCACUGGGUGUAAAGGGUGCGUAGGCGGAUAAAUAAGUCAGUGGUGAAAUCAACGGGCUCAACCUGUUAACUGCCAUUGAUACUGUGUAUCUUGAAUAUGAGAGAGGUAGGCGGAAUGUUGCAUGUAGCGGUGAAAUGCUUAGAUAUGCUACGGAACACCGAUUGCGAAGGCAGCUUACUAUUUCGUAAUUGACGCUGAGGCACGAAAGCGUGGGUAGCGAACAGGAUUAGAUACCCGUGUAGUCC